AGCAGUCGCCACGGUAAUACGGAGGGUGCAAGCGUUAAUCGGAAUUACUGGGCGUAAAGCGCACGCAGGCGGUUUGUUAAGUCAGAUGUGAAAUCCCCGAGCUUAUCUUGGGAACUGCAUUUGAAACUGGCAAGCUAGAGUCUUGUAGAGGGGGGUAGAACUCCAGGUGUAGCGGUGAAAUGCGUAGAGAUCUGGAGGAAUACCGGUGGCGAAGGCGGCCCCCUGGACAAAGACUGACGCUCAGGUGCGAAAGCGUGGGGAGCAAACAGGAUUAGAUACCCCGGUAGUCCCUGUCUCUUAUAC
rnacentral:rRNA from 1 species